AUUGAACGCUGGCGGCAGGCCUAACACAUGCAAGUCGAGCGAGCGGCGGACGGGUGAGUAAUGUAUGGGGACUGCUCGUUAGAGGGGGCUAACUACUGGAAACGGUGGCUAAUACCGCAUACUGUCGGAUUAGCCAUAUGGGAUUAGCUAGUAGGUAAGGUAAUGGCUUACCUAGGCGACGAUCCCUAGCUGGUCUGAGAGGAUGGUCAGCCACACUGGGACUUGGACACGGCCCAGACUCCUACGGAGGGAGCAGUGGGGGAUAUUGCACAAAGGGCGCAAGCCUGAUGCAGCCCUGCCGCGUGUAUGAAGGAAGUUUUCGGGUCGUAAAGCUCGUUGUGAAGGAAGGCGGUACUUAACCAGAAAGCGACGGCUAACUUCGUGCCAGCAGCCGCGGUAAUAC
rnacentral:rRNA from 1 species